GACGAACGCUGGCGGCGUGCUUAACACAUGCAAGUCGAACGGAAAGGCCCUGCUUUUGUGGGGUGCUCGAGUGGCGAACGGGUGAGUAACACGUGAGUAACCUGCCCUUGACUUUGGGAUAACUUCAGGAAACUGGGGCUAAUACCGGAUAGGAGCUCCUGCUGCAUGGUGGGGGUUGGUAAGUUUCGGCGGUUGGGGAUGGACUCGCGGCUUAUCAGCUUGUUGGUGGGGUAGUGGCUUACCAAGGGUUUGACGGGUAGCCGGCCUGAGAGGGUGACCGGCCACAUUGGGACUGAGAUACGGCGCAGACGCCUACGGGAGGCAGCAGUGGGGAAUAUUGCACAAUGGGCGGGGGCCUGAUGCAGCAACGCCGCGUGCGGGAUGACGGCCUUCGGGUUGUAAACCGCUUUCGCCUGUGACGAAGCGUGAGUGACGGUAAUGGGUAAGGAAGCACCGGCUAACUACGUG
rnacentral:rRNA from 1 species